rnacentral:lncRNA from 10 species
GAAUGUUCUCCUGGGCAGCGUUGUGAUCUUUGCCACCUUCGUGACUUUAUGCAAUGCAUCAUGCUAUUUCAUACCUAAUGAGGGAGUUCCAGGAGAUUCAACCAGGAAAUGCAUGGAUCUCAAAGGAAACAAACACCCAAUAAACUCGGAGUGGCAGACUGACAACUGUGAGACAUGCACUUGCUACGAAACAGAAAUUUCAUGUUGCACCCUUGUUUCUACACCUGUGGGUUAUGACAAAGACAACUGCCAAAGAAUCUUCAAGAAGGAGGACUGCAAGUAUAUCGUGGUGGAGAAGAAGGACCCAAAAAAGACCUGUUCUGUCAGUGAAUGGAUAAUCUAAUGUGCUUCUAGUAGGCACAGGGCUCCCAGGCCAGGCCUCAUUCUCCUCUGGCCUCUAAUAGUCAAUGAUUGUGUAGCCAUGCCUAUCAGUAAAAAGAUUUUUGAGC